rnacentral:rRNA from 1 species
AGUCGAAGGAGAAGCUAUUUCGGUAGUGGAGACUGGCGGACGGGUGAGUAACACGUGGGAACCUGCCCUUCAGUUCGGGAUAACAGUUGGAAACGACUGCUAAUACCGAAUAUUCCCUACGGGGGAAAGAUUUAUCGCUGAAGGAUGGGCCCGCGGUUGAUUAGAUAGUUGGUGGGGUAAUGGCCUACCAAGUCGACGAUCAAUAGCUGGUUUGAGAGGAUGAUCAGCCACACUGGGACUGAGACACGGCCCAGACUCCUACGGGAGGCAGCAGUGGGGAAUAUUGGACAAUGGGGGCAACCCUGAUCCAGCCAUGCCGCGUGAGUGAAGAAGGCCCUAGGGUUGUAAAGCUCUUUCGCUCGUGAGGAUAAUGACUGUAGCGAGUAAAGAAGCCCCGGCUAACUUCGUGCCAGCAGCCGCGGUAAUACGAAGGGGGCUAGCGUUGUUCGGAAUUACUGGGCGUAAAGCGCGCGUAGGCGGUUUAGUAAGUUGGAGGUGAAAUCCCAGGGCUCAACCCUGGAACUGCCUUCAAAACUGCAAGACUAGAGUCCGGGAGAGGGUAGCGGAAUUCCCAGUGUAGAGGUGAAAUUCGUAGAUAUUGGGAAGAACACCGGUGGCGAAGGCGGCUACCUGGACCGGAACUGACGCUGAGGUGCGAAAGUGUGGGGAGCAAACAGGAUUAGAUACCCUGGUAGUCCACACCGUAAACGAUGAGAGCUAGACGUUUGGGGGUUUGACCUUCAGUGU